rnacentral:rRNA from 1 species
UACGAAGGGGGCUAGCGUUGUUCGGAAUCACUGGGCGUAAAGCGCACGUAGGCGGCUUUCUAAGUCAGGGGUGAAAUCCUGGAGCUCAACUCCAGAACUGCCUUUGAUACUGGAAAGCUUGAGUUCGGGAGAGGUGAGUGGAACUGCGAGUGUAGAGGUGAAAUUCGUAGAUAUUCGCAAGAACACCAGUGGCGAAGGCGGCUCACUGGCCCGGUACUGACGCUGAGGUGCGAAAGCGUGGGGAGCAAACAGG